CUGUCCCUAGUACGAGAGGACCGGGAUGGACGCACCUCUGGUGGACCUGUUGUCGCGCCAGCGGCACAGCAGGGUAGCUAUGUGCGGACGGGAUAACCGCUGAAGGCAUCUAAGCGGGAAACCCACCUCAAAACGAGUACUCCCCUGAGAGCCGUGGAAGACCACCACGUUGAUAGGCCGGGUGUGGAAGUGCAGCAAUGCACGUAGCUUACCGGUACUAAUAGCUCGAUCGGCUUGAAUCGCUCUCAUU
rnacentral:rRNA from 1 species